GACGAACGCUGGCGGCGUGCUUAACACAUGCAAGUCGAACGGGAUUUAGUAGACAGAAGCCUCGGCUAAAGAUUACUAAUGAGAGUGGCGAACGGGUGAGUAACGCGUGAGCAACCUGCCUAUGACAGUGGGAUAGCCUCGGGAAACCGGGAUUAAUACCGCAUAAAAUCGUAGAAACACAUGUUUCAACGGUCAAAGAUUUAUCGGCCAUAGAUGGGCUCGCGUCUGAUUAGCUAGUUGGUGAGAUAACAGCCCACCAAGGCGACGAUCAGUAGCCGGUCUGAGAGGAUGAACGGCCACAUUGGAACUGAGACACGGUCCAAACUCCUACGGGAGGCAGCAGUGGGGAAUAUUGCACAAUGGGGGAAACCCUGAUGCAGCGACGCCGCGUGAACGAAGAAGGUAUUCGUAUCGUAAAGUUCUGUCCUAUGGGAAGAUAAUGACAGUACCGUAGAAGAAAGCUCCGGCUAAAUACGUG
rnacentral:rRNA from 1 species